CUCAGCCUGGCUACGGCCCAGAUGCCCACCCUGAACCUUCCACGAGCCAGGGCAGGCACCAUUUCCCCAGGACCAGCUGAGCAGUAAAGUCUCUUCUGGUUUAUCUGGAGGAAGGAAAAUGACGUCAUGAGGUAAACCGCACAGCCUGAAACCACGAGGCUGGGCGCCCCAGUGAUGUUUGCUUUUCAGCAAAAGUCACCAUGUGCACAGAGGGGCAGGCAGCCUGGGCCAUUGUGGUCAGAGGGUCGGGGGGGAAGACAGAGGGAGAUUUUUAACACGGAACCACAAGGAAGGAGAGGCCCUGGAGAGAUGGACGUCAGAGGCCAGAGGGCGGCUUCCUGGGGUGCUGUGGGAGACUUGUCACCUGCUGGGCGGGGUGGUCUCUGCUGGCAUCUCACAAGGUCUCGGGCUUGGCACCUGAGGCACGCAAAGUCACAUUUGCUAUAGCGGGCAUAAUAAUAGUGGCAAGAAUAAUAUCGAUAACGCAUCCUGACCACGUGUCUCUGUAGCCUUGUCGCCUCCUCAACACCAUCCCAUAAGAUGGGACCCUGUGAGGCAGACGCAGCCUGCACACAGAGGAGGGUGGGGAGGCUGGGGCUCCGGCCUGUGCUUUCGCCUCCAGACCAUGGAGCUUCUUCGCCCACGUGCUGGGUACCGUCCAGCCUGAGGCCUGUAUGCAGGGUCCCUGUUUCAAGCCCUGAUUCCUGCCUGCUACCUUCCACCCAGGAAGCCCCCUCCCCUCUGCAGCCCUCAGUUUCUUCACCUGUCAAACGCCCUGCCUUUGAGGAACCCUCUCACAGGACAGCUGGACGCAGCCAGGCGGGAAGAACUCUUCACCAGCCCCGUCUCCAUCGCCCGGCUGCCAUCACUGCCGGCAUCGACACUGACCCUCCAGCUCCAGCACCAGACCCUGGGGAAACCUGCAGUCCCAGAGAGCCUGACAGCCCCCAGAGCAAAACCUUCAGCUGUCCCAGGAGAAGGACACUCGGGGAGCCAGCCGGAGCUGGCUGCUUUCAGCACCAGGGGACAACUCUAGGAAAAAGCCGAGCCACGGAGUCAAGGAGGGCCUUCCCUACCGCUGCAGACAGCAAGCCCCUUCCAGACGCUUCCCCGCAGCUACAGCAGCAAGCGCCCCUGUGA
rnacentral:lncRNA from 1 species